UAUUUGUCAGACAGAGGCCUUGGUUGCCGUCUUCUAUAGGACCUGUCCUUCUCCUACCCAUGGAGUUUCUUUUGUCUCUACCUCUCCCUCCUCUGCUUUUUCUGUUUCAACGACUCUUUGAAUCCAUGCCUACUACUCUUUGCCUCCAACGCUACAGAAAGCUAUCAAAAGGAAGCUCAUCAAACCUAUAUACCUAUAGCCUAUAUAUAUAUAUAGGUAUACUGUAAGUGUAUAAACAACACAGUAUUGGGAAGGCACAGAAACGAGAUCCUGCUACUGCUUGUGCUUCCCUCAAAACUCCCUAGCUAUGAUGUUCUUCUCUGCAUUCUACGGGUUGUGAAGAUGAAAAAUGAAGAGACAAGUACUCUAGUCUAGUGUUUAAUUUGUCUGCUGCAGAUAUGCUUGCCUGGCUCCCUGAAUGCCAUCUAAGAAGCUUGCCAAAGAGUGUUGGCUACCUUCCUACUUGGCAUGAGGGGAGUCAUGCAGGCCCCAACCAGCAGACGAAUGUACAAUUGCAUUAAUCCAAUGAAAAAACACGUAUUUCCCAAUUAUUGAUGCUAUAUGCUGUUGGUAAAGUGAGAUAGACUUGGAGGUUGUUGAAGGCAGAUUUAAAUAUGAUCCGUGUUUGUGCAGAUGGAUAUCAUAUUAGUCUUUGCAUAGCUUUGUGUAUUAAUAAUCAACGGAUGGUACGUGCCUCGUGGAAAAUUUUGGAUAGGGUUUGAAAUUUUAUAAAUUAUAGUUAUAUAUAUGUGGCUGUGAAUUAAGUAGUAUAGUUUUAAUGCAGGCUGCUGGGUGGGGUGGCUUUGGCUUUAUGUUUAGAGUGAUGAGUGAAAAAGACUGAUAUCCUCCGGUCAAAUAAAUUUGUUUUUGUCCAUGAUCAACGGCAGCUAGCUAGAGCCUACACCUCUUGUUCAUCAUACCUGAAUUUCACUCUCUUCGGAUAGGAGUGCACCUGCCGAUCGAUCGAACAAGAUAGUCCGGCCCCGACCCGGUAACGUACGUACGUACGUAGAAGCUUGGAGGCUUUGUUUUGUUGGAAGUUAUUUGUAAUAUUGUUUGAUUGUGCAAUGCACAUUUCUUGAUUGAGAUUGUUUUUUGGUUGUAUUUAUUUGGGUUUUGAUACAAGUAGUCAUGAUUCUUGUAUGACACCCCGGAAAAUGAUUUGAAAUGCUAAGACCCGUAUGCAAGUGUCA